UACGGAGGGUGCGAGCGUUGUCCGGAAUCACUGGGCGUAAAGGGCGCGUAGGCGGCUGGGGAAGUCGGCGGUGAAAGCCCGGAGCUCAACUCCGGGUCGGCCGUCGAGACUCCUCGGCUCGAGCUCACUAGAGGCAGAUGGAAUUCCGGGUGUAGCGGUGGAAUGCGUAGAGAUCCGGAAGAACACCGGUGGCGAAGGCGGCCUGCUGGGCAGUAGCUGACGCUGAGGCGCGACAGCGUGGGUAGCAAACAGG
rnacentral:rRNA from 1 species